GGAGAGAUGGCCGAGCGGUCGAAGGCGCACGCCUGGAAAGUGUGUAUACGGCAACGUAUCGAGGGUUCGAAUCCCUCUCCCUCCGCCA
rnacentral:tRNA from 1 species